rnacentral:rRNA from 1 species
UACCUGGUUGAUCCUGCCAGUAGUCAUAUGCUUGUCUCAAAGAUUAAGCCAUGCAUGUCUAAGUAUAAACAAUUCUAUACUGUGAACUGCGAAUGGCUCAUUAAAUCAGUUAUAGUUUAUUUGAUAGUACCAUUACUACUUGGAUAACCGUGGUAAUUCUAGAGCUAAUACAUGCGUAAAAACCCGACUUCUGGAAGGGUUGUAUUUAUUAGAUAAAAAACCAACCUGGGCAACCAGUUUUUUGGUGAUUCAUAAUAACUUUUC